GGAAGCAACACCUAUGAGUUAGAAACUGACGAGGGAAAAAGAAUUGGAGUGUACUUCGCAGACCAGCUGAAAAAGCUGAAAUCUGCCGACUGAUUUUGACUAAAUUUGUAAAUAUUAUGACCCAACAAGCUAUGUAACUUUUAUCACCAUUUAAGAGUGACCACAAGUUCGAAAAUGAACGAAUUUUCAAAAAUACCAUUAAUGGGAAACUUAUAACCACAAAAAUCCACCGAUUUUGACUCCAGUCGAGGCAGAUGAUUUGAUAAUGGGAGGUUAAUUCGAUCAAUGAAACCCUUGAACGCGGGAAAGCUUUUCAUUCCACAAAUAAGAUUGAGUUAAGUCGAUGACCGGCCCAGAGUAGUGAACCCGAUUCAUGACUGUUUAACGGGAGACUAAACGAUGAUAUCGAAUGAGUCGUGGCCUGAAUCAGGCGAAAGAAGCAAAGCGAGUACCAAACGAUCGUAUUGACCGAACAGCAUCGAAAAUUCACGCCAAAACGACGGAAUUUGUACAAAUUUGUAAAUAUUUAGACAUAAUUUAGUUAGUAAAAGUUUAGUUAGUAGUGUACCUACGUUAAUUCUAGUUUUAGUACUUAUUCUAUUGAAUUUUGUUAGGAAACUUGAAAACUAUUCACGGUUUUGCACAGGGGACAGUGUGCAGCUGUUUGCUGAAGUUUCGAAGCUUUUCCAUUUUGUUAUCAUUUCCUUUUGUAAAUAUUUUCCAUCCAUUUCCAUUUUUAUGAGAAUUUUUCCAUUUCCAGGUGAUAAAUUUUCCAUUUUGUAUAUAUUUUUCGAUGAAUUGUCUCCAGUGGUGGUCCAGGUUGAUGUUCACCUAAAACUGACACAUUCUGGCAUUAGUUUUUUGUAAAUAUUUAGUGAAUUGUGCUAAUUAGCACUCAAAUUACCUUUUUUUUCAUUGAAUUUUCCCUCGCAGUAAGUUUUUCCAUCGGAGGUAGAGAGUUGCUUCCAUAAUAUCAGCAUAAUUCCUAAUUGGUGUUGAUUAUGGUCGAUGAAGUAGUUUUGUUUACGUAGAGCAGUUUGCUUUACCGAUCUUUUCUCCUUUGCAGUUCUUCUUGAUCUCUUCUCUUUUGUAUUUAGUCGUAGAUAAACAUUGCAUUUUUUCCCUUCGUGCCGCAAGUUCACGUUGCAGAGUGAGCGAAAGCUCUACUUUGCCGACAAGCAUCUGCGCUAUUUUUAGUAUCAUUCUUUUUGGUCCGCGUGUUCAUCCAGGUUUUGUGGCCGCCUUCUGCAACCUGCACCUGAAAAUAAAAUAGAGAAAAAUACCUUUUUUACAACCAAACACAAUUAGCGACACAUUCAAUUUCACUUUCCUAUUCGAUUUUCGACCAGUAGAGCAGUUUUUCCGAGCACAAAACCACUUUUUUCCGCGAUAAUAGACACUUUUUUCCCGACACUUAAAUUUUCAUUACACGCACUUUGUUUACAUCCCGUUGACUGGUAGACUGGUAACAGGGUGAACGUGAAAAUGAACACUUGUUCAUUCAGGAUGGACGAGGGGUACGUCAAUGCAGUUUUUUUUUAUGUGUUGUUGUUUCAUGAACAGUUUCGUAAUUAAUGCAAAUUAAUGUUAGAGAUUGUUGUGAAUUUGAGUUUUAAACUUCAUGGAAACGUUUUUUUGGGGUUAUCCCGAGGUAGUUUUCUGUUGUUUAAAGCAGACCAAAAUUUUUUAAGACAAAUUUUAUGAUGUUCUGUUUUCUUGGGAAACUUUCUUCUGAGGUUUGAACACUCGUUGAAUUUGUCGGUAAAUUUUUUCACUUAAGGUGAUAGUUUGAAUAGAGCGACUCUUUGGUUUUUUGGUGUUUAUCACUGAGGUAGAAGGUCGUUGCUGAUUUUUUUUGGGAAUGUUUUUAGGAUGAGAUUUUUUUUAUGAUUGUUAGAAUGUUUGCGAUGCCAGCUACCAGGAAACUUUUCAAAGUCAGUUCUCAAUUUUUUUUCAGUAAUUCGGUUCAAGAUCAGCAGAUGAGUUAUGCUGUUGUUUGAUAUUUUUUUGAAGUUGCGGUUUUUUUGAUAUCCUUUCCUCAUGUAAUAUAAUUUUUUAACUCUUCUUUAUUCUUGUACAUAUUUUUUGCCGAAGUUUUGUAGAUAUUAUUAUAGUUUUAUUUCGAUGAAUUUUAUAUGAAGUUUUGGAUUUUCUUAGUAGCUUCUGCUGGAGACCGGAGUCUAAACACGUUGAUGGUCUAGUAGCAGGCGUAGUUUUUGAAAUUACGUGCUGGAAACAGAGAGUGAGCCACUGGCGAUGACCCUAUAUGACCCCGGAAGCGAAAGGUUAUUCAGAAAUUCAGAUAAAUUUCAGCUUCGAAAAUUUGAUUGGUUUUGGGUAAGAAAUUUUCAAUUUCAGUUCCAAACCAAUCAAAUUUUCGAAAAUUUAGUAGGGAAUGAUGUAGCAGUACCAUCAGUACAACCCUCUGCCGCAAGAACGGCAGACAGAAAAGAUGAAUUCGCCAAUAUUUUAGCGUGCCAUAAUUAUGGUUGGCUUAUCUUCUCGCGCUACGCCUCGACCUAAUUAUGUCAUGGGUUGAGCGCCACCCCUUAUGGGAGACUUUCAAAAUACUUUGCCUUGACCUGUUAUGAGAUCCGCACAAGAAGGAAGAAUCUUCAGAUGCUAAAGUUUGCGACAAGAGCACUUUUUUGACUCGAACGGGAGGUCGAUGCACUCCAGUUCGGCAGUCAGAGAUUGCAAAUUCUUAAGAGAUGCUUCGGCUAAACUCGCGCAAUUAUUGCAAUUGUAAUGUUGCUCGAGUUCUAGAGAACCGAAGUUGUUCUAAUUGCACCUCUACUGAGGGUUCUAGGACUUCGACUCGGUCACUUUUACCCUGAUCGUGGAGGAAGCAGGAGUGGUCGAAGGACCGUUUUGGAAUCGUUUGAGUUAGAUCUCGCGGCUAGUGGUAGAAUUAGGAGUAGGGUAGUGGCGAACCAGAUUGAAACCCUGAAACUCCAGGUGGCAACCGGCAUCAUCCGUAGCAGAGCGACCACUCCAACCGACAACCCAGCGCUUCUGGACUCCAUCAAGGGGUCAAAGUUCCGGGGUGAACCCCCAAGCAGCUCGUCCGUCAACACACGAGCUGAGCGGCGUCCGUCAACACACGCCGCGGUCGAACCCUCGACCACCAACCGACCGAACCGGGACGGCCUCGUGGAGGCCUAGGUACACCAAGUUCCCGCGCGCAUCCGCGCCGUCGUCGCAACCGACGCUAUCAUCGCAGCAUCCUAGCUGCACACCGGUGCGCCCCCGCACACCGGAAGUGAUGCCGAACACACGUCGUUAGUGCCAACCCGUCUGCUGUUAGCCGCCGGCGGAACCAUCUCGCCGUAGCCGAAGCUGUAAGCGCGCCACCACCUGAUCGCCGGAUCGCCAACCAACACGUAAAACCAUGGUCGUGUAAGUACUUUUUCCCCCGACAUGCGCAUGAUCGAUCGUUGGCCAGUUCUUUUUCCGCCAACCCCGUGGGCAACAUAAGCCACCCCCAUGUUAUGUUGCGUGAUCGCAAGCCCCCAGUGAAUGAAUUAUAGCGAUCCCAAAUGAAUUUCGCCCCCCAAGCCAACGCACACCCUAGCCAAGCAGUGCACUGCAAAUGAACAGGUAGAGAGACAGAAAAACUCGAGUGGUACCGAGGUACCGUGUAGGACUAGCAUGCUGAAGAUCUGUGGAUCGAAUCUCGUAGGGCCCGAAGUAUUUUUUUGUAUUGAAUAAAUUAUGCGAACCUGAAUAUACGUUUUUUUGAGUUUCUGGAGUAAUUUUGUGGUUUUUUCUAAUGUUUUCUGAGGCAUCUUUUCACGACUUUCGCGGUAGUUUUCUGUUUGGUUCCGCCAUUCUGGCUUCUGAAGCGUUCUGGGGAAAUUUGAUUGGGGAGAUUUUCUACCUGUGAUGAUAAGAACGGGGCAAGUACAAUCUUUUGUUUUCUAGAUCUGAAGUAUUUUUUUUAGUUUGCGAUCUUUUUCUUCCGUUUGUAGCGCCUCGGCUAACCGCCGAGUUCUCGGAUGAGUCGGAUCGUUCUCAAUCGCAAAUUUUGGCAUCAAGGAUACACCCGCCCUGUGGCAGGGUCUCAUAGCUGGGCAAAGCAGCACAUGAUGAAUGGUCUCCCUUUGGGAGUGGCGCUUAAGCCAUUCGUUUAAUUACGCCAAUGCGAUCCGACCGACCGCCUCCG